rnacentral:rRNA from 1 species
GCAAGUCGAACGGCAGCACGGGGCGAACCCUGGUGGCGAGUGGCGAACGGGUGAGUAAUGCAUCGGACGUGCCUGAAGUGGGGAUAACGUAGCGAAAGUUACGCUAAUACCGCAUAUUCUGUGAGCAGGAAAGCAGGGGAUCGCAAGACCUUGCGCUUUAGGAGCGGCCGAUGUCGGAUUAGCUAGUUGGUGGGGUAAAAGCUCACCAAGGCGACGAUCCGUAGCGGGUCUGAGAGGAUGAUCCGCCACACUGGGACUGAGACACGGCCCAGACUCCUACGGGAGGCAGCAGUGGGGAAUUUUGGACAAUGGGCGCAAGCCUGAUCCAGCCAUGCCGCGUGAGUGAAGAAGGCCUUCGGGUUGUAAAGCUCUUUCGGCGGGGAAGAAAAUUGCACUCUCUAAUACAGGGUGUAGAUGACGGUACCCCGCAUAAGAAGCACCGGCUAACUACGUGCCAG